CCUACGGGAGGCAGCAGUGAGGAAUAUUGGUCAAUGGGCGCUAGCCUGAACCAGCCAAGUAGCGUGAAGGAUGACUGCCCUAUGGGUUGUAAACUUCUUUUGUAUGGGAGUAAAGUGCAGUAUGUAUACUGCUUUGCAGAUACCUUAUGAAUAAGGAUCGGCCAACUCCGGGCCAGCAGCCGGGGUAAUACGGAGGAUCCGGGCGUUAUCCGGAUUUAUUGGGUUUAAAGGGAGCGUAGGCGGGUUGUUAAGUCAGUUGUGAAAGUUUGCGGCUCAACCGUAAAAUUGCAGUUGAUACUGGCAGCCUUGAGUACAGUAGAGGUAGGCGGAAUUCGUGGUGUAGCGGUGAAAUGCUUAGAUAUCACGAAGAACUCCGAUUGCGAAGGCAGACUGCUGGACUGUAACUGACGCUGAUGCUCGAAAGUGUGGGUAUCAAACAGGAUUAGAUACCCGGGUAGUC
rnacentral:rRNA from 1 species